rnacentral:rRNA from 2 species
AGCAUAUCAAUAAGCGGAGGAAAAGAAACCAACAGGGAUUGCCUCAGUAACGGCGAGUGAAGCGGCAACAGCUCAAAUUUGAAAUCCGGCGCCCCCAGCGGGCGCCCGAGUUGUAAUUUGCAGAGGAUGCUUCGGGCGACGCGCCUUCCAAGUCACCUAGAACGGUGCGCCGAGGAGGGUGAGAGCCCCGUACGGUUGGACGCCUAGCCCUUGUGAAGCUCCUUCGACGAGUCGAGUAGUUUGGGAAUGCUGCUCUAAACGGGAGGUAAACACCUUCUAAAGCUAAAUACCGGCCAGAGACCGAUAGCGCACAAGUAGAGUGAUCGAAAGAUGAAAAGCACUUUGGAAAGAGGGUUAAACAGUACGUGAAAUUGCUAAAGGGGAAGCGCUUGUGGCCAGACCUGCGCCCGGCGGCUCAGCCGGCGUUCUUCGCCGGUCCGCUCUGCCGGGCCCAGGCCAGCGUCGGUUCUCGCUGGGGGACAAAGGCGUCGGGAACGUGGCUCCCCCCUCGUGGGGAGUGUUAUAGCCCGACGCGCAAUGCCCCGGCGGGGACCGAGGUACGCGCUUCCGCAAGGACGCUGGCGUAAUGGCCACCAGCGGCCCGUCUUGAAACACGGACCAAGGAGUCGAGGUUUCGCGCGAGUGUCUGGGUGUCAAACCCGCACGCGUAAUGAAAGUGAACGCAGGUGAGAGCUUCGGCGCAUCACCGACCGAUCCUGAUGUUCUCGGAUGGAUUUGAGUAUGAGCGUGGUGCCUCGGACCCGAAAGAUGGUGAACUAUGCCUGGAUAGGGUGAAGCCAGAGGAAACUCUGGUGGAGGCUCGCAGCGGUUCUGACGUGCAAAUCGAUCGUCAAAUCUGGGCAUUGGGGCGAAAGACUAAUCGAACCAUCUAGUAGCUGGUUACCGCC